rnacentral:tRNA from 1 species
UACCUGAUGGUCCAGUGGUUAAGACUCUGUACUUCUAGUACAGGGGGCUUGGGUUCAAUACCUGGUCAGUGAA